rnacentral:rRNA from 1 species
UACGUAGGGGGCAAGCGUUGUCCGGAAUCAUUGGGCGUAAAGCGCGCGUAGGCGGCCCGGUAAGUCCGCUGUAAAAGUCCAGGGCUCAACCCUGGAAAGCCGGUGGAUACUGUCGGGCUAGAGUCCGGAAGAGGAGAGUGGAAUUCCUGGUGUAGCGGUGAAAUGCGCAGAUAUCAGGAAGAACACCCGUGGCUAAGGCGGCUCUCUGGGACGGUACUGACGCUGAGACGCGAAAGCGUGGGGAGCGAACAGG